rnacentral:rRNA from 1 species
GACGAACGCUGGCGGCGUGCUUAACACAUGCAAGUCGAACGGUAAGGCCCUUCGGGGUACACGAGUGGCGAACGGGUGAGUAACACGUGGGUUAUCUGCCCUGCACUUCGGGAUAAGCCUGGGAAACUGGGUCUAAUACCGGAUAGGACCACUGCCUGCAUGGGUGGUGGUGGAAAGCUUUUGCGGUGUGGGAUGGGCCCGCGGCCUAUCAGCUUGUUGGUGGGGUGAUGGCCUACCAAGGCGACGACGGGUAGCCGGCCUGAGAGGGUGACCGGCCACACUGGGACUGAGAUACGGCCCAGACUCCUACGGGAGGCAGCAGUGGGGAAUAUUGCACAAUGGGCGCAAGCCUGAUGCAGCGACGCCGCGUGAGGGAUGACGGCCUUCGGGUUGUAAACCUCUUUCAGCACCGACGAAGCGCAAGUGACGGUAGGUGCAGAAGAAGGACCGGCCAACUACGUGCCAGCAGCCGCGUAA